AGGUGGCUAGAGUUGGGGACUGGCAUUUGAAGAUGAGAAGUCACAUCAAGGCUAGAGAAAAUGUACAGAUCUACAGACACGUGGAGCUAUUGGUGUGCUGUGCAAACUAAAAUUCACUAGAAUACCCACCUCCUAAUGUAUUUGAGUUUAUAGGAUUCAGCUGUUGGGCCCAGAAGACUGGAAUUCUAGUGAGUUACUGGAGAUAGGCUGCAAGAAGAUACCUAGCAAAACUAUUAGAGAUAUUUGAUUCAGGCUCUUGAAGAAAAAGGAUAGUGUGUAGAGAAGAAGUAUGGCUACAGUUAUGCUGAGAGCCUUGAACAGGGAGAGUGAGCUUGGACCACAGGAGUCUUAGAAGAAAGAAACACUUCCCAAUGUUAUAUCCCUGAACACUCUGGCUGCUGUAGUUUUCUGAGCAGUGGAAGUUAAAAGGAUUAGGAAGCAAGAAUUCUCAACAGGCUAAAAGGAAGAGACUCCAGCUUCUCUUCUGCCAUCCUCUCAUCACUGGACUAAUUCAAUGUGACAAACUUCCUGAGGAUGCCCACUUUGAACAAGGACAGAUGUACCAAUGUCCAAUAUUCCCAUCCCUCCAGCAAGAACUGAAGGAUUUCUUAUGGGUACUUCACUGUCAGGCUACUAAUGACAUCAGCCACAAUCUGAAGCCACUGUUUUUCCUGGUCUUCUAAAAGAUCUACUAGACAAGUGGAGUAUAUAUGGAGAUGAAGCCCUGGCAAUGUAAGAAAGAGAUCAGCAUUUCCCCAAC
ensembl:lncRNA